CCGCUCUGCAAAUACUAGAACACACGGCUAUGCACGACAGCUGUACUACACUACACCUGCAGGAGCGCUAGUCCUGUAGAGGAAAUGUGCAACAUGCCACCUCUAACUGUAUCACCCCUCGUAUCACUCCUUGCUGUCCUAUCCCAGUCUGUGCCACCCCUAACGGUAUCACCCCUGGCUGUCCUACCCCUCGCUGUGUCACCCUAUCACUGUCCUAUCCCUCUCUGUACCACUCAGCUGUGCUAUUCAGUCUGCAUCACCCCUCUCUGUGCGCCUCUUGCUGUGCCACCCCUAACUGUAU